rnacentral:rRNA from 1 species
UACGGAAGGCAGCAGUGGGGAAUAUUGCACAAUGGGCGCAAGCCUGAUGCAGCCAUGCCGCGUGUAUGAAGAAGGCCUUCGGGUUGUAAAGUACUUUCAGUCGUGAGGAAGGUGUUAAGGUUAAUAACCUUAGCAAUUGACGUUAGCGACAGAAGAAGCACCGGCUAACUCCGUGCCAGCAGCCGCGGUAAUACGGAGGGUGCGAGCGUUAAUCGGAAUUACUGGGCGUAAAGGGCACGCAGGCGGUUAAUUAAGUUGGAUGUGAAAUCCCCGGGCUUAACCUGGGAAUGGCAUUCAAGACUGGUUAGCUAGAGUCUUGUAGAGGGGGUAGAAUUCCAUGUGUAGCGGUGAAAUGCGUAGAGAUGUGGAGGAAUACCGGUGGCGAAGCGGCCCCUGGACAAGACUGACGCUCAUGUGCGAAAGCGUGGGGAGCGAAACAGGGAUUAGAUAC